rnacentral:rRNA from 1 species
GGGACACGUGGUAUCCUGUCUGAAUAUGGGGGGACCAUCCUCCAAGGCUAAAUACUCCUGACUGACCGAUAGUGAACCAGUACCGUGAGGGAAAGGCGAAAAGAACCCCGGCGAGGGGAGUGAAAAAGAACCUGAAACCGUGUACGUACAAGCAGUGGGAGCACCUUCGGGUGUGACUGCGUACCUUUUGUAUAAUGGGUCAGCGACUUAUAUUCUGUAGCAAGGUUAACCGUAUAGGGGAGCCGCAGGGAAACCGAGUCUUAACUGGGCGUUAAGUUGCAGGGUAUAGACCCGAAACCCGGUGAUCUAGCCAUGGGCAGGUUGAAGGUUGGGUAACACUAACUGGAGGACCGAACCGACUAAUGUUGAAAAAUUAGCGGAUGACUUGUGGCUGGGGGUGAAAGGCCAAUCAAACCGGGAGAUAGCUGGUUCUCCCCGAAAGCUAUUUAGGUAGCGCCUCGUGAACUCAUCUUCGGGGGUAGAGCACUGUUUCGGCUAGGGGGUCAUCCCGACUUACCAACCCGAUGCAAACUACGAAUACCGAAGAAUGUUAUCACGGGAGACACACGGCGGGUGCUAACGUCCGUCGUGAAGAGGGAAACAACCCAGACCGCCAGCUAAGGUCCCAAAGUCAUGGUUAAGUGGGAAACGAUGUGGGAAGGCACAGACAGCCAGGAUGUUGGCUUAGAAGCAGCCAUCAUUUAAAGAAAGCGUAA